rnacentral:rRNA from 1 species
UACAGAGGUGCCGAGCGUUAGGCGGAAUCACUGGGCUUAAAGCGUGUGUAGGCGGACGCCUAAGUACCUUGUGAAAUCCCACGGCUCACCCGUGGAACGGCUGGGUAUACUGGGCGUCUUGAGCCUUCUAGGGGCCAGCGGAACAAAUGGUGGAGCGGUGAAAUGCGUAGAUAUCGGGAGGAACACCAGUGGCGAAGGCGGCUACCUGGACCAGCACUGACACUGAAGCACGAAAGCGUGGGGAGCAAACAGG